rnacentral:rRNA from 1 species
UGGUCCGGCCGGGCCUUUCCCUCUGUGGAACCCCAUGCCCUUCACUGGGUGUGGCGGGGAAACAGGACUUUUACUGUGAAAAAAUUAGAGUGCUCCAGGCAGGCCUAUGCUCGAAUACAUUAGCAUGGAAUAAUAGAAUAGGACGUGUGGUUCUAUUUUGUUGGUUUCUAGGACCGCCGUAAUGAUUAAUAGGGACAGUCGGGGGCAUCAGUAUUCAAUUGUCAGAGGUGAAAUUCUUGGAUUUAUUGAAGACUAACUACUGCGAAAGCAUUUGCCAAGGAUGUUUUCAUUAAUCAGGAACGAAAGUUAGGGGAUCGAAGACGAUCAGAUACCGUCGUAGUCUUAACCAUAAACUAUGCCGACUAGGGAUCGGACGGUGUUAUAUUUUGACCCGUUCGGCACCUUACGAGAAAUCAAAGUGCUUGGGCUCCAGGGGGAGUAUGGUCGCAAGGCUGAAACUUAAAGAAAUUGACGAG